AAGUCGUAACAAGGUCGCUUCUGACCUAACGACGAGCCGAGCUUUUUGUUGAGAGACUGGACUUGCUGACUUCUUUUCAAACGAGUAACGGUUAAAAAUUGAGAGUUGUGUCGCUAACAGCCCUCUGACUGUAUUGGACCUGGAACGACUGUACCAACACUCACGAACGCCUGUAGGGGUGUUGUUUUGGUGAGGUGACAUGAUUCCCAAAAGUCGUGGCGAUGACGUUCGAACCGGCUUUGUGUCCUUUGUUUUGAUCUUCGGUGGCGCUGCUUCGGCUCGCUCAACCACCUGUGAGGAUCAGAAUAAAGGCAAAGCUGGGGAGGUGGCCCUUUUUAAUUGAAUCUUAAACCGAACUAACUUGACAAAACUUGAACAACUGUUACAAUGGAUAUCUUGGUUGUC
rnacentral:misc_RNA from 1 species